UCUACAUCCAUGUAUGUAGGACCUUAAAGGAUCAACCAUUAAAUUUAGCAUAGAUCUUUUAAAAAGUUAUCACAUGAGUGUGGGACUUGACUUUUCUAGAGAUUUGUGCCAAAUUUAAUGGUAAUCCUUUAGGGUCCUACACACAUGGGUGUGGG
rnacentral:pre_miRNA from 1 species